AAUGAACGCUGGCGGCAGGCCUAACACAUGCAAGUCGAACGCCGUAGCAAUACGGAGUGGCAGACGGGUGAGUAACACGUGGGAACGUACCCUUCGGUUCGGAAUAACUCAGGGAAACUUGAGCUAAUACCGGAUACGUCCGAGAGGAGAAAGAUUUAUCGCCGAGGGAUCGGCCCGCGUCUGAUUAGCUUGUUGGUGAGGUAACGGCUCACCAAGGCGACGAUCAGUAGCUGGCUGAGAGGAUGAUCAGCCACAUUGGGAC
rnacentral:rRNA from 1 species